GUUGCUGUCACGCGGCACAAGAG
rnacentral:miRNA from 15 species